rnacentral:rRNA from 1 species
AUUGAACGCUGGCGGCAGGCUUAACACAUGCAAGUCGAGCGGAGAUGAGGUGCUUGCACCUUAUCUUAGCGGCGGACGGGUGAGUAAUGCUUAGGAAUCUGCCUAUUAGUGGGGGACAACAUUCCGAAAGGAAUGCUAAUACCGCAUACGUCCUACGGGAGAAAGCAGGGGAUCUUCGGACCUUGCGCUAAUAGAUGAGCCUAAGUCGGAUUAGCUAGUUGGUGGGGUAAAGGCCUACCAAGGCGACGAUCUGUAGCGGGUCUGAGAGGAUGAUCCGCCACACUGGGACUGAGACACGGCCCAGACUCCUACGGGAGGCAGCAGUGGGGAAUAUUGGACAAUGGGGGGAACCCUGAUCCAGCCAUGCCGCGUGUGUGAAGAAGGCCUUAUGGUUGUAAAGCACUUUAAGCGAGGAGGAGGCUACUGAGACUAAUACUCUUGGAUAGGUGGGACGGUUACUCCGCAGAAUAAGCACCGGCUAACUCUGUGCCAG